GGAGAGGUAGGAGAUACAGUUUUAUUGUUAAAACUUCCCUCUUAUAAUUUUUUUUAAAGCGCUACAGAAUAUGUUGGCACUAUAUAAAUACCAGUAAUAAUAAUACAGUCCAUUAUACAGCGAGUGCCAAGGGUGCCAUUGUCCAGGUUUGUAUUGUGCUUGGGCAACUUUCUCCAAAAAUGUUUUAGAGCAGUAAAUUGAAUGGCAUACAUUUUUUUCUGCUUCUAGUUUAAUU